CACGUCAGUGCGCUUUGCUGAUGUAGACAUAAAGCGCGCUUACGUGGACGCAAUUUGCUGCCACAUCAGCAAAUCACGCUGACGUGG
rfam:Gossypium hirsutum cultivar TM-1 chromosome 1, whole genome shotgun sequence